GUUCUCUAGGGUUGGAGUUCUCCUCACAACCAGCCAACCACCAAGAUCCAAGUCUUCUCCCAUGGUGCAAAAACCACCAAAAGCACAAAAGAGCAAGAAGAGAGGGAGAAAGAGAUCAAAAUCCCAUCACAAUCCAUCAAAAAUGGAAAGAAAACCAAGGGGAGGGAGCUCUCACCUGUUCUCCACGGUUUGGGGGGGUUCAAAAGAGCCCUAGAGGGGCUGGGUGGAGUUUUAUAGGUGUUGUAACAAUUACAAAAACACCCCUCCACGAAGCAGUCCAUUCUGCACUGCGUACCGGUACACGGGAUUGUGUACCGGUACACAUCCCACGAAAUGCCAAACCCGAGCCUCGGGUUGGCGCACAUGCUACCUGUGUACCGGUACACGGCCCAGCGUACCGGUACAACCAUCACCCCGUACCAGUACAGCCAUCAACCCUGUACCGGUACACAGCCUGCUAAAGGCUACCCGAGAGCACACUAAAAAUCCAACCUUUCGGACUUUGGUGUUAGGUUUUAAACUUCCAAUCUUGGGGCUCGAACCAUGGGUCGGAAUACGGUCAACGACCCUCCACGAAGUGUGGAAAAGCUCAGAACACAAACAAAUAAUUGAACCUUGCAAUUUGCAAAGGUCCAGUGCGUCACAUACAAGCAAUUAGGAAGCUUAAAAGGUGGGUUGUGCUUCACCGAAGUGACUAGGUCGCUUCCAUAUCAAAGUGGAGUAUGAUUUUCUUGUUGAUGCAUAUAUCACAUAGUGGUAGUUAAUUGCUAGAUGAAUGCAUGAAAUGGAUGUUAUAUGAAUGCAUGAGAUGCUAUGUAAAUGACUGCCAUUGGAUGAAAAUAUAUGCUAGUUGAUAAAUGCAUGUUGGCAUGGUAUAGAAUAUGCUAGAGGAUAUAAAUGAAUGUUGACAUUGCGAGAAUAUGCUAGAUGGUAUAUCAAUGUUAACAUUGUGAGCAUAUGCUAGAUGACAUUUGCAUGUUGACAUAUUGAGAAUAUAUGCUAGAUUAUAUAUGCAUAUGGACUUGGGUCGAUAACUCUAGGUGGAUUAGAGAACUCGACAGUUGGAAAACAAGAACGUGAAAACUAUAACACUCGAUGUGGACAACUAAGAUGUCAAGUAGAUCGAGCGGCAUGAACCUAGUGUUACUAAACAUAGGUUGGACAUGAACCUAGUGUUAUUAAACAUAGGUUGGACAUGAACCUAGUGUCAUUGAACAUAGGUUAGAAUUAUCAUUAAACCUAGUGUCAAAAUCUUGGUGGAAGUGACAUAAAACCUAGUGUGGCAUUGAACCUAGGUUAUGACAUGUAGCAACACCUAGCGUGGUUGAACCUAGGUUGUGGACAUAGUAGUAGAGUGACCACUAGGAUGUGCAUAUAGGGUGUGUGACUACCCUUGAGACUUGGAAAGUGGAUUCCGGAAUUCCAGGACUUGUGAACUCGAUAGUUCUUAGCUGCGGGUGCGUGUGGCAUAUUCCCCUCCCACCGGAAGAACUUCGAGGAUAGGAUACUGGAAGAUUCUUGGCCGCGAGUGCGUGUGGCAUAUUUCCCUCCCACCGGAAGAAUCUUGGAUCGCUAGGGUGCGUGUGGCAUAUUCCUCUCCCUAUCGGGGGUUUUGGGCCGCGGGUGCGUGUGGCAUAUUCCCCUCCUACCAGAAAGAUCCCUGACCAUGGGUGUACGCGGUUCUUCGCGACCCGUUGGGCGAUGUGAUUUGUGGACUUAGGGCCGAGGUGCAUGUGAGACGUCCUUCGCCUCGAGCCCCGCAGAGCGCGGUAUUCCGCAGUCGAUUGACUCGAGGCCGAAUCGGGUGGCUAGCUUGGUUAAGGUAGAUGAAACCUUAAGGGCUAGUGAUAAAUGGCUUGGAUCUAAGGUAGUAGAAACUUUAGAAGCUAGUUGGAUAUGAACCGGAUAGCGAGAUAGGAAGUAGUAUCGGAUGAUCUACUAGUUUGUGCAUUAGUUGCAUGGUUGCAUAAAUUACAUGUUGCAUUUGUGAGGCAUAAGCAUGGUAAAUGUUAGUUGCAUAAAUUAUAUGAUGUUAUAUCUAGCUAUUGGACUAACAUGUUUGGACCUGGCGGGUCGAGCUUUUCCCAUGGGUGGCCGUACCCACUGGGAACUAUGGACAUAGUUCUCACCCCACGUUGCUUUGGGGUUUUCAGGUUCACAUGUGAGCGGCGCGGCGGCGCGAGGAAAGGGCGUAGCUCCGUAGAUAGCGUCCUACCACCGAGACCAGAGAUAGCGGUACCCCAAGUCGGUCUAGCUUAGAGGUAUAGAAAUGAGAGAAACAAACUUGUAACAAAGUUGUAAUAAAUUUGUAAUAACUAGAUUGUAAUUUGGAAAUUGAAUGCGUAAGAUGUAAUAUGCAAGUGCAUGUAAGUUGAAUGCUUGUAAUAGCAUAGUGUUUAUGUUUUUGAAACUUCCUUAUGCAAUCUAUGCUUGAGUAUUGUUCCUGGUAGGAACCUCGCGUUUGUAUGGAUUGUGACGCCUAGGACGUACAGGGGAGACUCUGAGCCCACUAGCAACAAUAACUCGUUGGGCCCAAACACCAGCCCAAAAUGCUUAAGCCUAGUUAUUAUUACUAGUAUCUAAGUUUCUUUUAUACCCAAUCACAUCCCCAUUCCUAUCCGAUGUGGGAUUAUUGGGGUGUGACAGACUCCCCCCGUUAAGGCCUUGACGUCCUCGUCAGUCCAAUCACACACACAGCCCAAGAUCACCAGGUGAUGUGAGACUCGUCUUGCUAGCCUUGUCAUCCAGACCCUGGCAUAGCCGGUCAUCUUGUCAUACAGACUCCGGCAUAGCCUAUCACCUUGUCUUUCAGACUCUGGCUCAGCCGAGACUCGCCACACAUUUUCGGCUGGUGAUUGGCUCUGAUACCAAAUGUAACGACCAAGCCCACUAGCAACAAUAACUCGAUGGGCCCAAACACCGGCCCAAAAUGUUUAAGCCCAGUUAUUAUUACUAGUGUCUAAGUCUCUUAUAUACCCAAUCUGUCACGCCCCGGAACCGGCGGAGCCCUCCCGGUAGCACACACUAACCUGACUGCUCCUGCAGUCCCGGAAUUGCCCCCCUCAGACAGUAUGGGGUUAUUAGGUNUGCGAAAGUAAGGAAGUGUCCUUCACUACUAACUCCCGAUGUUACGUUGUCGGCCGCCAACGUAACCCUCCGCGAAGUUAGAAGCCAUACACUCCGAUCAAACUCUAACUUUUUAGAGUUGUCAUAACCCAAUCAUAAUACUUUCGCUCACGAGUUAAAUAGACCUCGUCUCUCACGGCCUAUUUCCUAUAGUCCAACCAGCCUAAGGUUCGCUAGGUCCACUAAGACUCAACUCUAGGCUCUGAUACCAAAUUAAUCUGUCACGCCCCGGGACCGGCGGAGGCCCUCCCGGUAGCGUGCCCAGACCCGCCAUAUGUCUACACAUAUAAGGCGUCUACAAGAAAAGCGGAAGUAAAAGCAAGAGAUGGAACAAAUGAAAGAAAUGAAGUAACAAGCAACUAAUGAUAUCAGAGCGAGUAAAGUUCUAACAUAUAUACUAAUAGUAAUAGAACAUAACUAAUACCUAAAAGUAGACAUAAGUUAUACAGUAUCAGCCUCUAAUACAAAAAUGGUGGUCUCUAGUACACGGGUAAAACUCUCAACCUCUCCAAAAUAAAAUACAACGAGAGGUAGACCACCUAGCAAGUCGUCCUCGUAGGAAGCUAGCUCGAAGCAACUCCCUUCCCGCGGUCCCUAGCCUCACCCUGAGUGGAAGGCUCUGAAAAACAUCGAGAAAAAGAGGGCGUGAGAACUAUAAUUUAUAGUUCCCAGUGGGCAAUUACUGACCUCAGCUCAUGCUCCACUAGGCCCCAAAAAUAAGGGUAAGCAACGAUAAUAAUAAUGAUAAGCAAUAAGGAGCAUGUAAAUAAACUGCUGAAAGAAAGCACAAUUGGAAUGCUAGUCUACCGUGUCUCAAGUAAACAUGAUGUCAACCAAAAUGUACAUCUAUUCUAUCAUUACAAUUAAGUCCCAUUGGCACUAGUUUAAUGUUGUUAACCUUUGUCAAUACAUGAUGUAGGAGUUCUAUCAUGGCAACCAAGUAUACUACAUGUCUCACACUAUGCUAAAAGCAUGUAAUGUAAUCCAACUACUAAGUCUAUCUAGUAGUGGUCAUUCAUUCUCAACACUGUGUCGAUUUCCGUUUCCAAUUAAGAACCCACCCAAGGUAGUCCAACUUGUGCCGCCUAAGUGCCUGUGGUAGCCCGACAUUCCUACUCUUGGAAUGUGUCUGUCCCACUCGACCCCGUAGGCUUCUCAAUACCGCACGAGCGAACAAUAGUCGCAUAGGCCAACUCCGGAGUGCCGGCUUGUAGGGAGCGACCCUCACAAGCAUGUGCGAAUGAGCACAAAUGGCAAACAAGCAAGGUCAAAGUCUCAAGUACUCAAUCCUCAUGUCUCUAACAUGGUAUGGUCACUAGCAUCCCGACGAUCUAGUUCAAAGUCAUAAUGUGAGGUCCCAACACACACUUGCUUAGUGCCUCUUUAUGACACUUAAGCUCCACAACUAAUCAUGUUCCAAAUAGGACAUUAACAUUAAUGCUCACUAAGCCCCGGGCCCCAAUGCCUCUUCAUGACAUUGGCCCAAUCUCACAUAUCCUCUAAGUCUCUAAGCCUCUCUAGGCUUCCAAAAAUUCCUAAUGUCAUAACUGGUAUAUAGUUUGAAUGCAUGAAAGCAAGGUUCGUUUUCAUAAUAGGGAUUGUAAUUUUCAAGUCUCAUCUAGAAUGCUAGGCCACCCAUACAUGCUCUCUACUAUAUAGAGGUCCCAAAAUUUACUACACAUAACCUAUGCAUGUUAAGCAUUCUAAAAUUCAUAUUAAAUACAUUUAACAUGGAAAUGCAUGAAUUUCUAUUUUACGAAACAUAUUUGUCAAAUAUGAGCGUUUUUCAUAUUGUAUGCUAGGCCAAACCCACCGAACCGUCGCGUAGGGUCUCGAUUCGCCGAACAAGGUUGUCCACGAGUCUCUAGAUACCCUAAAAGUGAUCAGCGAAGAGAUACGAGAGUAUUACGACCAUCCGAGAGAUCAAACAUUAACCUAGGAGCAAAAAUGGCCAAAAUUUACCUCAAGAGUAGAAAUCUUCCCCAAAGCUCCAAAAGAGAGCUAGAACCCUUCCAACCCAAGCCCUAGGAAGGUUCUAAUCCAAUCAAUUUGGGUCCGAAAGCCCUAGAUCAAAAAUGCCCAAAAAUAAACCCUAAACAUCAAAUCUAGGGUUUCAUCUCAAAAACCUAGCAAAACAAGAUCUAGAGGAGAGGAAAUGAGCAACCAACCUCCUUAGAAGCUCCAAUCCUAGCUCCAAGGGUGAAGAUCUCCUCCUAUGCAAGCUCCAAGACCAAGCACCAAGGAAGAAGAGAGGGUGAGGAAGAUGCUCCAAGUCCUCUAAAAGCUCUCAAUCUUCUUCUCCUUCCUUCCUUCUUCUCCUUCUCCUUCUUCUUCUUCUCUAUCAAAGGUGUGGAGAGAGUUGGGAGGAGAGAAAUAAGAAGUAGAGAGGGUGGAGGGGUCAUAUAGACCCUCUAUUACAACAAAAUCCAGCUAGGCCCUCCAAAAAUCCAAAAUUGUAUCAGCCCGAACUGGGCAGUUUUCGCCCAGAGGGACCGGUCUCUCCCCAGCAGGGACCGGUCUCUCGCUGCGAACCCGAAAAAACCAGCGUUCGGGAACCGGUCUCUCCCGGCGCGGGACCGGUCUCUCACUGCGAGGGCGCGUUCGGGAACCGGUCUCGCCUGCCAGGGACCGGUUGCCUCAGGCCGCCUCAACACUGCUCACUGAGGGGACCGGUCUCUCCUUCCAGGGACCGGUCCCCGAGAGUGAAAACUCUCAGAACUUGUCCAGAAUUCCAGUUUUCGAACUUUUUAGGUCGGAAAACAUUCUACGACCCUCCACCAAGUGUGGAAAAGCUCGAAACACAUCGAAACACUCGAACCUCGUAAUUUGCAAAGGUCCAGUGUGUUACACAAUCAUAUCCCCAUUUCUAUCCGAUGUGGGAUUAUUGGGGUGUGACAGAACCCGACCAAAUAGACGGGGCGCGGGGCGUGACAUCAUCGGUGGCCAGGGAAGUGCGCGACGCUGUUAAAGAAGGAUGGGGAGGCGGCUAGGGCUCAGGAGAGCAGAGAGGAGGCUAGGGCUAGGAUUAGGAGAUGAAAACUCUAGAUGCCCUGUUAUAUACAUAAAUGUAUAAUUGUAGGGAAACCCCCGAAAAUCCAAAAUUUCAACUGGGGUCCUUCAUGGCACGUGCAAAAUGAGCUAAUGCACCUCCACAAGCGUUGUCACAUGAAACGAUGCAUAAAAAAUUAGAUUUUUCAUGAAAAAACCCAAUAUGCAAUCUCAACCCUUCCUCGAAUAACGUGCGAUUCUAGACGAUCAAUUCAUCGAAUUUACGAACGGAUCGUGUCGGUACUUCCGCUACUGCCAGACCAUCAAGCCUACGAUUUUGUUUCGCACGAAUCGGUCGUCGAUUCGCCACGAAACCAAUCACUCUCUACCUCCAUAUAUAUAUAUAUAUAUAUAUGUACAUAUAUAUAUAUAUAUAUGUACAUAUAUAUAUAUGUAUAUGUACAUAUAUAUAUAUGUAUAUGUACAUACAUAUAUAUGUAUAUAUAUAUACAUAUAUAUGUAUAUAUACAUAUAUAUAUAUGUAUACAUAUAUGUAUAUAUAUAUGUAUAUAUAUAUAUACAUAUAUGUAUACAUAUAUGUAUACAAAUAUAUAUGUAUACAUAUACAUAUAUGUAUACAUAUAUGUAUACAUAUAUGUAUAUAUACAUAUAUAUAUAUACAUAUAUGUAUACAUAUAUGUAUGUAUACAUAUAUAUAUAUAUGUAUACAUAUAUGUAUGUAUAUAUGUAUACAUACAUAUAUACAUAUAUAUAUAUAGAGUUGAGCUAGAAUACUCUCGAUAGUAAACGAGGCGUUUUACUAUCGAGUUGUUUUCGAUGAUAGAGCUUCCAAAUUGACGAUCGGCUCCGUUGAACAUGAUCUAUANCCCCCCCCCCCCCCCCUCUCUCUCUCUCUCUCUCUCUCUCUCUCUCUCUCUCUCCUCACACAUGCUUCAUGUCUCCCCUGCUGUAAGCAGCUUUCCCUCACUGAAAAGCUACUAACCAACAACCCCUUUGGGAGAGAGAUUGGGGUGAUGAAAUGCUUGAGGAAUCAAAGUAGGGAGGGAUCCAGCAGCUUUAUUUUCCUCCCCUUUAUUUGUGAUGUGAUGAUUUCAUGGUGGUGGUGUAGUAGUAAUCACAAUCACAUUAACCUUUUUCUUUUGUAACCAUGUUAUGUACAAAUUGGAUAUCUCAAAUCUUGAGGAAUAGAUCAAUCAUGGGCUACUAGGGCUGUCGAUGGACCCCGUUAGCCGAUCGAUUUGAAUCUGACCCAAAUCGUACGAUAAUUUGAUUUAUCCUGAUAUGAGUUUGAUAUUUCGACGAUCGAAAGCGAUAUAUGUGCAUAUUUAUUGCAUAUUGUUCUACAUAAUUAUGAAUAAUUAUUAAGUGCUUGAGCAUUUCAUCAAUCUUAAGAAAGAAUGGUAUGAUCAUAUUAUUGCCUUAGAUUAUCCCUUCCUACUAAUGAACACAGGAGAUUGAUGUGAUCGAGCAAGUAGUCUACUCAAGCAUUCAAUUUUCAAGUACAUACCUAUCUUGACAAAAACAGUUGCAAAAUCAUGUAACAAAUGAAUGAGUGUUUAUUAGAUUAGUACACCAUCUCUUUAUCAAGAAUAGAAAGUUCAAUCAACUCCCUCGCAUACUGUUGCAGACAUAUAUAUAUAUAUAUAUAUAUAUAUAUAUAUAUAUAUAUAUAUAGUUGAGCUGUAAUGCUAUCGGUAGUAAACGGGCUCUAUUACCACCCAUUUGUUUUCGAUGAUGGAGCCUUCAAAUCAACGAUUGACACAGUUGAGCAUGAUCUAUACCACUUGAAGUAUCUAGAAAACAAAUUUCAAAUCUUUUCGACAUCAUUAACCUAAUGAUCAAAGGAUUUCAAAAUUUGUAAUUUUAAUGGUAGAUAUGAGGCAUUUUCUUGUUUAACGGUGUAAAGCUAUCCAAAUCAAUUGAAUUUUGGUUAGAAAAUUCUUUAAACUAUUUAGAACAAGAUCUAUACUCUCGAUCUUGAUUAUAAAAUUCUUAUCAUCACUUUUUAGAGGAUAUUCAUUUUCAGCCAUUCAUUUUUUACGCCUACUUGAUGGACAAGAGAACAAUAUCGGAAAAGAAUGAAAUUUGAUUUCUAGAUACUUCAAGUGGUAUAGAUUAUUUUCAACGGUGCUAAUCAUCAAUUUGGAGGCUCCAUCAUCGAAAGCAAAUGGGUGGCAACGGAGCCCAUUUGCUACUGAUAGUAUUCCAGCUCAACUCUCUCUCUCUCUCUCUCUCUCUCUCUCUCUCUCUCUCUCUCUUUCUCUAUAUAUAUAUAUAUAUAUAUAUAUAUAUGAAAUAAAAUUCAAAUUCAAAUGCAAAUUCAAAUUUCAAAGUCUCAGGUAUUACAAUAACCCUAUAAAAUUUUCUAAUUGGGUAAAUAACCCUAUAAAAUUUUUUUUGACAAACUAACCCUUCUUUUACCAUGUAGGAGUCACGUUAGAAUUUUCUUUUAAAGGCGGUGAACAACUCACCGCCUUCAUAAAGAUGGUGAACGAUUUACCGCCUUCCUAAUUUUCCACAAAAGCGGUGAAUCAUUCACUGUCUUUCGCUUAUUUACUGUUUCUUUCUAUAUCCCAUAUAUAAUCAUAACCACCACAUAAAAUUUUCAACAAAUCACAUAUAAUCUUAACAACCUAAAAAUUCUAAUAAUCAAUCUAUACAAUUCCAUAUAAUCUUAACAACCUGAAAAUCCUAAUAAUAUAUUCAUACAAUCCUACCUAUCAAAUAAUCCUAACCACUACCUUCCUAAUUUUUCACAAAAGCGAUGAAUCAUUCACCAUCUUCGCUUAUUUACUAUUUCUUUCUAUAUUCCAUAUAUAAUUCUAACCACCACAUAAAAAUUUCAACAAAUUUUAUAUAAUCUUAACAACCUAAAAAUCCUAAUAAUCUAUCUGUACAAUUCCAUAUAAUCUUAACAACCUGAAAGUCCUAACAAUCUUUUCAUAUAAUUCUAAGGCCAAUUUGCAUAAAAAAUUCACAAGUUUUGGGCUUUUGCAAAACUAGGUCACAUUUUUCAAUUUUGCAGAUUCGGGCCAAAUUUUUCGCCAUCGGACGAAAAUACCCUUAUUCCUUUUCUUUCUUUCUCUUCUUUUUUCUCUCUUCUUUUUUUUUCCUUUGUUAUUUUUUUUGUCGAGGACGUGCUCCAGAUCGCCCUCCCCAUUGCGGACGAGUUCCACUACCUCCUCCUUCGCGGUGCCCUCCCCAUCGCCUCCUCCUCCUCCUCCACCGUCUUCGCGGCCCUCAGCGAUGGUAAUAAGGGCGGCGCUGCUUCCUCUUCCUCUAUCUCCUCCCCCGCCGGCACCGGCGGCCCUCGGUGACGGUGACGAUAAUGAGGGCGACGCCACCUCCUUUUCCUCUUCUCCGUCUCUGCCUUCGUCAGCACCGAAGAGAGAGAACUCGGAGCGGACGCGGGUGAGGGUAGAGCAGAUGGAGACGAUGAGAUCAUGGUCAAGGAGGUAAUCGCUGCCCAUGAGGGUUAGGAGAAAAGACGCGCCUAUCUCCAAAGAGCGAACAAAGAUGCAGAGGAUAGAAAAAAAAGUAAAAAAAAUAAAGAAAAAAAAUCAUCUCUUUGAAAGACUAUUAUAUAUCGUUACUAUUAUCGAAAAAGGCAAAAAGUCAGAGAAAAUGGAAGAAAAAGAUAAAGGUUGCACUGUUAAAAUUAAGUUGCACUGUUUUACAAAAAAUUUACACUGUUUAAGGUGAACGUUGCACUCGUUGAAAUAAAAAUUACAAUCUUUGAAACAAAAGUUGCACUCUUUUGACAAAUAUUACACUGUUUUAAAAAAAAAUUACACUGUUUCUCUUUCUUUUCCUCAUCUUCCUCCUUUAUAACAUCUAUGGCCUGCAUGGCAUCGGCGUCCAUGGCCUACAUAGCGUCGGCGUCGAGCGGGACCGGCGCCGCCUGCACGUCAUACUGCAGCAGCCACGAGCCAUUGCGCGAGAUCGCGAACCGGGCGGUGCACAGCACCAUGAUGUCGAUCCGAUGGAAGUUGAGCAUGAAGCCAACGUCCGAGAAGCCCACGGUGGUCGCGCGGUUGUCGUUCUCGGUGACCAUCGCGAGGGCCAUCUGGACGUCGAGCGUACCGGACUAGUCGUAGUCGAGCCAGCCCAGGUGCGCCGCCGGCACGCACAGCAGAGGGGAAAAAGGAAGAGGGGGAGGAUGAGGAGGAGGAGAGUGCACCAUUUCGCCCAAUUUUGCACUACUUCGCCCAAAAUUGCACCAUUUCUCCUUUUCCUCCUCUUUCUCUUCUUUCUUCUUUUUUACACUAUUACACCAUUUUUUACACCCUAAAAAAUUGCAUUCUUUGGACGCCCUCAUCUCCUUCGCCGGAGAGUAGGACUCGGACAGUGAUCUUCAGGGCAUCGAUCAGGCCACUUCUUCAUCUUGGAGUCGAGGGUGCCCCACUCGAUACUCCGGGUCUCCGCGAUGGCGUUGCGGUAGACGGUGACGUAGAUCUCGCUCAGCUCCUGGCCGUACCCGGUGCGGAUCAUGCGGCCGGCAAUCUCCGUGAGGUCGGCAAUGGCGUCGGUGCGGAGGAGGUCGGAGGAGAAGUGGUCGGCGGAGAAGGAUCCCCGGCCUCCUUCGCCACCGCCGCUGCCGCAGGAGUCCUCGAGAUUGGCACCGUGGGGGUAGGGGUCGGAUCUGGGGGAGGAGGUGGGGGUGUCGUCGUGGGAGAGGGAGAAGCGGCGGAAGGAGGAUGUGGGUUCGUCGGAGGAGGAGGAGGUGGCGGAACUCAAGAUGUGGUCGGAUAUUUUCGUUCGAUAGAGAAAAAGUUUGCCCGAACCUACAAAAUUAGAAAACGUGGCCCAGUUUUGCAAAAGCUCAAAUCUUGUGAAUUUUUUAUGCAAAUUGGCCUAAUUCUAACUAUCAAAUAAAAAUUCUAAUAAUCCACGUAUAAUUCUAAUAAACUCACUAUUUUUUUAUUUCCCAUAUAAUCCACUACAAUUUUAAUGAAUGCGGUGAACGAUUUACCGCCUAUAAAAGGCAUGAAAGAAUACAGUGAAUGACUCACCGCAUUUUGGAAAAAAAUCCUAUGUGGCAAAGAGAGAAUUAGUUUGACAAAUAUAAAUUUGGCAAGAUUAUUUUGCAAAUUACAAAAUUCUAGAGAGCUAUUUUGUAAAAAAGUCCCUCCAAGCUCUCCAAUAGGAGGAGUUGGAGGUGUAAGUUGAGCCUAAACCCCAACUUAACACAUAAUAGUAUUCCAACUGAAAUAAAAAGUAUUGUAAAAUUAUUUGCGGUACCAAUACCGCGUCCAAAACAAUUCCGACUCAUCCUAACACUUUUCCAACGUGUCGUUUAAUUGCCGAACUGUAAUUAUUCCGAAAAAUAAUAUUUUGAAAUAUAUAUAUAUAUAUAUAUAUAUAUAUAUAUAUAUAUAUAUAUAUAUAUAUAUAUAUAUAUAUAUAUAUAUAUAUAUACUGCAGAUUGGCUCUGAUAUCAACUGUGACGCCCCACUUUCUAGAGGUUCAUCCAUCCUAGGAUUACUCUAACCCUAGUACGUCUAACUCUCUUAAUUUUUUGAAUCUAGCCACCGCCAAAAUAUUGUAAUUGGGUUAAGAGAUUUGAUUUAUUAUAUCUCAUAUAUAAUACUAUUCCAAAUUCCAAAUUCUAAAAAUGUCAGCUUAUAAAAUUUUGAGCAGUGCUACUUGCACCUUGGCUAUCAAAGGAUGUACAUUUUUCCACUAGUCUUUUCAAUUUUUUUGUUUUCAAUACUAGAAAAAUAAACCAUAAUUUUAGAAUGAAAGAAGCAUAAAAUUUACGCUUCUAUAUAGGGUGUGCANAUUAUGGUUUAUUUUUCUAGUAUUGAAAACAAAAAAAUUGAAAAGACUAGUGGAAAAAUGUACAUCCUUUGAUAGCCAAGGUGCAAGUAGCACUGCUAAAUAUUUGAACGUUACAAUUUUAAUUUUAUUGAAUAAUUUUACAGUGCCUUUGAGAUAAGUACUUAAAUUCUAGAAUUUUAAAUUUUACUAUCAAAUCUUCGCGUAUUAAUAAAAUUUUUGAUAGAAUAUCCCAUCAAGUUAAUGAAUGAAACGGUAGCAUGCUAUCUAUUUCUCAAAAAAAAAAAAAGAAUAUCCCAUCAAGUACCAGAAUAGUAAGUGGGACUACAGAAUACUUCGUCAAAAUAUUACAAACACUGUAGUAAGAUCAUCAUUUUCAAAGUUCAUGUACUUGUAUUAAUAUUGUUGUUAAGGCAAGCAGUUAAAUAAAACUUCUUACAAUUUAAAUAUCUAUAGGAAAUAUGCUAGAGUUUAGGUUAGAUUUGUAACUUUUAGCUCUUUUAAUUUCCUUUUUUGUUGAAUCAAUCAUAGAAGCAUCGCAAGGUCUCUAAUAUAGACGACAAUCACUCUUCAGGAUCAAUUAACUCCAGGGAUCGCUCUCCAUCAUUAGACAAGCCAGCAUAGAUGUCUAUAAUUAGAGUUAUGUAACAUAAAGGAAGCUAUUAGCAUAUUGCCUUAUAACUCUGCUACAGAAUAGGAAACUAAAUUAUUAUUGUAUCUCUUGAUUAUUUCCUUUGUAGACUAAUUGAGGCUGUAUUAUAUUGUGAAUAGAAACAAUUCUGCUCUGUGAGCUUCUUCCACCCAAAAAUUUAAAGUUACAAUUCUUCUACAGUAUGCUCGUCAUGGUAUCAGAGCACACUGCUUAGACAAGCUAGAGAUCCUAUUUUUUUUUCCAUGGCAGAAGACAGCAUUUCAAAUACUAUUACCUCCCCAGUGGCUAUUCCCAACCCUCCUUCUGACCAGAGCAAUAUGCUUAUUUCAAUAAAUGCUUCUGCCCAACUGCCUCUUGAGCUUACUAAUCUUAAUUAUCCGUCAUGGCGAGCGCAAUUCAAUACCCUUUUGGUUGGCUAUGAUUUGAUGGGAUACGUUGAUGGCACUGUGGUUUCACCGCCCAAAAUGGUAACCAUCAAUGAGAAUAUGGUCACCAAUGCGGCCUAUUCUCAUUGGUUUCGUCAAGACCAACUACUACUUCAUGCAAUCAUUGCAUCGACCUCAGAAUCUGUAAUGCCUCUUGUAGCCUCAGCGAAGACGUCGCAUGAAGCCUGGAACGAGCUCUCAUGUACUCUUUGCAAGCAGAUCACGCUCGCGACUUAUGAGUGUCAAGGAGCGUCUCACUCUCACAAAGCGCGACGCUCGUUCAGUGGCCGAAUACCUCCAAAUUAUGAAAGGUAUUGUUGACGAACUCGCUCUUAUUAAUACUUCAAUUGAUGAGGAUGACUUGGUUCUUCAUAUUCUCAAUGGUUUGGGUCCGGAGUUCAAAGAAAUAUCUACUGCAAUCCGUGCUCGUGAGACACCCAUCACCUUUGAAGAAUUACAUGACAAACUCAUUGAGUUUGAGCAAUACUUGAAGAGAAAUGAAGCUGACAGUGACAUUCAUAUUGUCACUGCCAAUCAUAUCAAGAAGGCUAGCAAACCUUCCAAUAGUCAAGCUAGCAUACAGUAGACGCACUUCACAUUCAGGUCCUUUUCGACCUAAUCAUUUUGCUUCACAAAGGAACAAUGGCUCUAAUGCUGGACGUAAUAAUCAAAAGCCAAGGGUAAUGUGCCAAAUCUGUGAAAAAGCUGGUCAUUCAGCGAAGCAAUGUUGUCACGCCAAGCAAUAUUUUUGUUCUCAACCAGUUGCAAACUAUACCUCCUCUCGUGCAUCUGACCAAGGGUGGUUCAUGGAUUCUGCUGCUUCUCAUCAUGUCACAGCUGACUUGCAGAAUCUAUCCAUUCAUUCAGACUAUGACGGUCCAGACGAAGUUGUUAUUGGUGAUGGAUCAGGUUUGAAGAUUACACAUAUUGGUUCCACUAACCUUUCCUCACCUACUGCUUCUUAUUCUUUAUCUGAUGUUUUAUGCGUACCUUCCAUUCAAAAGAAUUUAAUUUCUGUUUCUCAAUUUUGUAAGACUAAUAAUACAUCAGUUGAAUUUUUUCCUGAUUGUUUUUUGGUGAAGGAUCUAAGCACGGGGACGAUUCUAACUCGAGGCCAAAAUAAAAAUGAUAUCUAUGAGCUACCUUCUUCUGUUGGUGUUUUGCAAAAUAAACCUCAAGCCAUGGUUGGCGUCCGUGUCUCCAAAAGUGAUUGGCAUAAGCGCCUUGGUCAUCCUUCCUCUCAAAUUCUUCAAUAUCUAUUGACGUCUGGUUCUCUUCCUACUCCUUCUAAGUCUAUUUCUACUUUACUUUGCGACUCAUGUUGUUGUAAUAAAAGUCACAAACUUCCAUUUGGAAUCUCAAGUUUGUCCAGUAGUCGACCUCUUGAUCUUCUCUGUACUGAUGUUUGGGGUCCAGCUCCUGUGCAAUCAAUUGAUGGGUUUAACUAUUAUGUUAUUUUUGUUGAUCAUUUUACAAAAUAUGUUUGGCUUUAUCCCAUGAAAAGAAAAUCUGAUGUCUCUUUCUUAUUUCCAAAAUUCAAAAAAUUAGUUGAAAAUUAUUUUGGGAUGCCUAUUGUUUCAAUUUACUCUGAUGGGGGUGGUGAAUAUCAAAAAAUGAAAGCCUUUUUGGAAUCUCAUGGCAUCACUCACUUAACAACUCCACCCUAUGCACCAGAACAUAAUGGGUCCUCGGAACGGCGCCAUAGACAUAUUGUUGAAAUAGGAUUGACACUCCUUCAUCAAGCAUCUCUUCCAGCUUCAUUUUGGUCCUAUGCUUUCCAAACUACUACGUACUUAAUUAACCGCUUACCGACCAAAAUACUUCGUUUUAGAUCUCCACAUGAAGCGCUUUUUAAGAACUCUCCAAAUUACUCAAAGUUUCGCAUCUUUGGUUGUCUAUGCUAUCCGUGGUUAAAACCAUAUUCCAAACAUAAGCUUGACACACGUUCCAAGCCUUGCAUUUUCCUUGGUUAUUCACCUAAUCAAAGUGCUUACAGGUGCUUCGAUCCUAGCACAAAUAAGAUCUAUGUUUCUCGACAUGUCAUCUUUGAUAAAUCCACAUUUCCUCAUGCAUCCUUAUCCUCCCAAGUUCAGUCUAACACUUCUAUGUGGUCUGUGCCUAAUCAAGAUAAUCUCGGUCCGCCUCACUUUCUCAUUUCUAAAACCUCUACUACAACCUCUAUAGUACAUCCGGUUGACUCUACUCCAUUGCAUGCACACUCAUCUCCUAGUCCUCAAAUUCCAGCCAGUAGAGGAUCCUCUUUGCAUGACCAACACCCACACCAAGGUAGCUUAUGCUCGUCGCCUCAAAGCCCACGUGCAGACUCAUCAUCAAAUACAAUUUCACCUAAACAACCCAGUCACCUCGUCUUUCAACGCACACAUCCUAUGACCACUAGAUCUCAAAAUAAUAUUUUUAAGCCUAAAUAGCUCCAUACUACUUCGAAGCACCCCAUUCCCACCAUCAUGGAACCAACCUGUGUAUCUCAAGCUAUCCAAGAUCCAAACUGGCGAACUGCUAUGUCUGAAGAAUUUAAUGCCCUUCUUCACAAUGGCACUUGGGAGUUGGUUGCUCCUCAACCUCAUUACAAUGUUGUUGGUAGGAAAUGGGUAUUUCGUAUCAAAAGGCAUCCCGAUGGUAGUGUUGCACGCUAUAAAGCAUGACUCGUCGCCAAAGGCUUCCAUCAGAGACCUAGCCUUGACUAUCAUGAGACAUUUAGCCCGGUCGUUAAACCUACCACCAUACGAACUAUUCUUUGCCUUGCUUUAACUCAAGGAUGGUCUCUUCAUCAGCUGGAUGUGAACAAUGCCUUCUUACAUGGAUCUCUUACUGAAGUUGUUUAUAUGCAACAACGCCGGGAUUUGUUGAUCAUUCCUUACCUACUCAUGUCUGUCGACUUAAGAAAGCUAUUUAUGGUCUCAAGCAAGCCCCUCGAGCUUGGUAUCACGCACUUAGCAGUUUUGUCACUGCAUAUGGUUUCACUCAAUCAAAAUUUGAUUGUUCUCUUUUCAUCUAUCGACAUGAUGGAAUAGUGGCAUACUUUCUUGUAUAUGUUGAUGACCUAAGACUUAAAGGAAAUGAUAAAUCAUUUCUACAUUGCUUUGUCCAAGCUCUUUCUGGCAGGUUUUCUCUUAAAAAUCUUGGUGAUCUUCAUUACUUUCUAGGGGUUGAAGUUAUACCAACAACACAAGGCUUAUUUCUAACGCAACAUAAAUACAUAAGAGAUAUCCUUGAUAGAACUAAAAUGCUUGGUGCUAAAGAUGUUGCUACUCCAUUGUCGACUUGUAGCUCGCUAUCUCGUCAUGAUGGCUCUCCUCCAACAAAUGCUACUGAGUAUCGGAAAGUAGUUGGUGCUCUCCAAUAUCUCUCUAUCACAAGGCCAGGCAUAGCUUUUACCGUAAACAAAUUAUCUCAAUUCAUGCAUCAACCGUCGGCGCUUCAUUGGAUUGCAGUCAAACGCAUUCUUCGAUAUAUCAAAGGCACUAUCUAUCAUGGACUGCACUUAAAGCGCCACUCUAAUUUACUACUACAUGCUUUCUCUGAUGCUGAUUGGGCUGGUGAUAAAGAUGAUCGUACAUCCACCUCUGCGUACAUUGUAUUCCUUGGCACUAAUCCUAUUUCUUGGAGCUCACGAAAGCAGUGAUCUGUCGCCCGCUCUUCUACUGAGGCUGAAUAUCGUGCCAUUGCGGAUACGGCAUCUGAGUUGGCUUGGAUCUAAUCGCUUCUGCAUGAGCUAGGUGUCUCACUAUCCAAAAGUCCGACCAUUUACUGUUACAAUAUUGGUGCAACAUAUGUAUGUGCUAAUCCGGUCUUUCACUCCAAGAUGAAACAUAUAGCUAUAAGCUACCACUUCGUUCGCGAUAAAGUAAGCAAAGGACUGCUAAAUGUAUCUCAUGUAUCGACUCAUGAUCAACUUGCUGAUGUGCUAACAAAACCUCUAUCACGGCAGCGAUUUUCUCUUCUUCGUUCCAACAUAGGUGUUCACAAUGGUACACCUAUCUUGCGGGGGCGUAUAGGCGACAAUCACUCUCUAGGAUCAAUUAACUCCAAGGAUCGCUCUCCAUCAUUAGACAAGCAAGCAUAGAUGUCUAUAAUUAGGGCUAUAACAUAAAGGAAGCUAUUAGCAUAUUUCCUUAUAACUCUGCUACAGAAUAGGAAACUAAAUUAUUAUUGUAUAUCUUGAUUAUUUCCUUUGUAGACUAAUUGAAGUUGUAUUAUAUUGUGAAUAGAAACAAUUCUGCUCUGUGAGCUUCUUCCACCCAAAAAUUUAAAGUUACAAUUCUUCUACAGUAUUCUCUUCACCUAAUAAGUGAGUGAUAAUAAAACGCUUAUUCAAGUUUACUGGAACAUAUGCAGAAAAAUGAAUCUUUCCAAGCUGCAACCAUGCACACUCACUUCUACAAAAAAAUACAAUUCAAGAAAAGAAGGAUAUCAACUACCGUACAACGUACUCGGCACAAUUUCACACUGGGGCAGUCCGAAAUAAUUAUUACUUUUAUUUUUUUAGCCCCUCAGCUAUUAAUUAAUUAUUCUAGGGCUUUUUUUGCAAAUAGCCCCCUAACAAAUUUUAUUUGCAAAAAUAGCCCUGUCUAAAAUUUAUUUGCAAAAAUGGCCAUGGCCCUGCCACGCCAGCGCCACGCCAGCGCCACGUCAGCGCCACGCGGGCAGGGCCUGGGCUAGGAAUUCAAGUUGAACACGGUGAUUCGUUCACCGUGUCUAAACACGGUGAACCAACCACCGUGCUAACUGUGCCACGCCCGCCCGCGGCUCUAGCUUACAUUAGACACGGUGAUUCGUUCACCGUGUCUAAACGCGGUGAACCGUUCACCGCGUUUAGACACGGUGAACCAAUUACCGUGUCCUUCACUUCCAUACUUGCCCGGCCUGGCUAGUUGUAUUGGACACGGACUUAGCCAUUUUCGGGGAGUGCUAACAUUUAUAUUGGACACGGUAAACCAUUCACCGUGUCCAAUACAAAUGUAUUGGACACGGUGAAUGGAUCACCGUGUCCAAUUGUAUUGGACACGGUGAUCCAUUCACCGUGUCCAACACAACUGCCCACCCAACUAAAAAUUUGCCGCAGAAAAAUCAAUUACAAGAUUCAAUACAAGAAUACAAUACAGAUACCUAUCAAUACACAUCACAACACAUCACAACACAUCACAACAUCACAAAAGUAAUACAGAUCACAACAUCACAAAAUUAAUACACAUUACAACAUCACAACCAAUAGAAUCUCAAUAAUAUAAUAAAUACCAAAUAAUCAAAACAGAAUAUACAAAAUAAAUGCAAGUUAUACAAUAAUAUAUAAAUAUAAUAUCAUAUUCUCCUCCCUCGACCUCCUCGACCACGUCGCCUACCACGUCCGCGACCACGACCAACAUCAUGCUCAUCAAAAGGAUCCAAGAUCUCCANUCUUCUUAGAUUUAAAAAAGUUUAAAACUAUCUUUUAUGAAAUUUGAUAUAUCUAAUUCUAAUUGUAAGAACUAGAACUUAAAUUUUCAGGAUACGAGUUUAAAAUUUCUAAUAAGUUAAAAGUGACAGAUAAAAGUGUUAUCAAGUAAUACACACAAAACUAUCGAUUAGUAUACAUAAAAAGUGUUAUCUAAUAUACCUCCGGAAUACUGCUGCGUCACAAUCUCUUCGAGGGUGGAAAAACAGACCACCCCAGGGUCCAAGCCGCUAGCUCCUGAUGGAAUCAGACGAAGGUGUAAUAACUCGAGGUAGUAGGGCUAGCACACGAAGCGGUCAAACCCGAUGAUGUCGUAUAUGUACUUGGACACGAACGGUAUGGAGCGUAGUUAAGUGCUCCGUCUCGUCUAUUCCUAACCCGCCGUAUGGUGCGGAGUAUGUAACUCGCAACCUUACUAUCUAAUCAUCUAUAUCGUCUCCACCGGGGACUCUGUCUAGGUCUAGGCUAUGCUCGAUGGUGACAAAUGUACAUCACCAUAACCUGCUAGUGGUCCUCCACCUAUAGAUCUGGACAUGUCGCCGGUGGUGAGCGGAUAGUCGGUGCACCUGUGCAGCUCUCUCAUAACCAUACUAACAUUAACGUUUAUAAAAAAAUAUAAUUAAAAAUAUAUAUGUUCUUUCAAAGCAUAUUAGAAAAAACUAACACGAAAAUAAAGUCCAACUAUAGCACGUCUCUAGUGUAAUAUGCUAGUCUGCACAGGAUGGGCUAUAAAGUCCUCCACCUCAGAAUCGAUGGGAUAGUGUCCAGCGACUAGUCUACCUCCGUCAAGACCUCUCAAAUGGAUGCGAAGGUGUGAUACAUGGAGGUCCUGGUCGUCUGAUACCACCUCGUAGCUGCAGGCCGGUACGUGGGCAUAUAUCAGGUGGCUACGGUAGUAGUGGCUAGCCCCUCGGUGGAAUAUGACUACAAUGCCUGGGCCGUGGUUGUGGUCAUGGCGUCCUAGGUCGAGCUCGUCCACUAUAACAAAUAAAAUCCGCAGCUGCCGCUAGCUCCAGAUAGGCAUGUCUAGUCGGGAGGAGAAGUCGAGGAGGUGCCGGUCUAGUCGGGAGGAGAAGUCGAGGAGGUGCCGGUCUGUAUGAUGGCCGUGUACGAUGACGACACUAACUCGGCCAAUAACUCCCACGACGAUAUCUCGUAGAUCUGGUCAACCUCUAGAAAUAUAGUAGCCUAGCUCUAUAUAUAGUAUAGAUAGUAUAGUAGCCUAGCUCUAUAUAUAGUAUAGAUAGUAUAGUAGCCUAGCGCUAUAUAUAGUAUAAAGAGUGUAGUAGCCUAGCUCUCUCUCUCUCUCUCUCUCUCUCUCUCUCUCUCUCUCUCUCUAUAUAUAUAUAUAUAUAGUAUAUUGGCCUAGUUCGAUAAUGCACUUUUGCAGGAUUGAGACUCUAACUUGAAAUUGAUCGCCUACAAACCUAAUUGAGGGUAAAGCGAAGACGUUGGCGAAGUCGGUUCGGCAAUCCGUCGAGCCUAGCUCUAUAUAUAGUAUAGAUAUUAUAUUGUAGAUAGUAUAGUAGCCUAACUCUAUAUAUAGGACUUUUAAAUUCAAGAUCAAGAAUGUUAAUCUUAAUCUAUAUAGUUUAAAGUAUUUUCUAUCAGAAUUUGAAGAAAUUUAGAUUCUUCUAUAUAGUAGCCUAGCUCUAUAUAUAGUAUAGAUAGUAUAGUAGCCUAGUUUCUAUACACGCGUUAUUCAUUCAUCCUUACAUUACAUUGGGAUGGUUUGUUUGUGUACUUGAACACACUUAUUAGUGUUAUAGCUUUUUAUUUGUUGGAUACACACCAUUUAUAUCUUCAUGUUGCAAAGGAGAUGUUUUUUAUUGGGUUUUGGUAUGUUCUAUACAUUGGCCUGAGGCAUGCAGCUAGAGUAAAACUUGACAUGCAACUAAGUGUUCCUAAUGGGAAGAUACUGAUAAAUCACAUUAUUGAAUACAAAAUUCGACAGAUUGAGUAACUUGUAUAUACCUGAGACUCUAACUGCUGAUCCAGCUGAUCACGAUAAAACUCAAUGUCAGUAGUCCUGACAUUGUCCCGAAAUGCUAAUCUAGUAUUCCAACUGUUUCAUUUAUAUCAUAUUAGUUAUGAAAAAUUAGUAUAUAGAAAACUUAAAAUGAAAAAAUACUUACCGACACCCUAAUGGCAUGUCGACAAGCGCAGGCUGCGGGCCUACUACCUCAGGGCGGCCAAUAUGCAGGUGGUCCCAUGCCCAUAUCUAUACAAAAAAAAACAUUCUUGUUAGAAAUGAAAACAAAAACCAUGACUUAACUAGAAGUAUUAUAAGGGUCUUCUUGUUAGAAGUAUUGUACCUGAACUAAUGUCCCAAAACAACAACACUCGACCUUUCCCCUGAUGCAAGCAUUUCCUAGGGUGCGAUAAAGAUGUGCUAGCGCGGCUGCACCCCAUGCUAAUGCACCACAAAGGUCAAAAUCCUCUAAAUAUGGCAACCAUUUCAAAUGCACCCUGUUCCCGUUUGGAUUUGGAAACAAACUACAUCCUAUCUGAAAUAGUAUAUAUGCUCUUGCCGUAGCUCUAACAAUAACCGGAGGUGCGUCUAAGGGGAUAUCAUGGAACUGCUGAUAUAACCAAUCUAUCUUGAUCUCACCACCCCUAAUAUCCUCCGGAACCCCGCAGAGCUCUGCCCACUGAUAGGAUCCCCCUCCAGUCACUGCGCCACCAUCGACGGGGAGUCCCGUAAUAACUCCAACAUCCAUCAAUGUAAUACUCAUCUCUCCAUGUCGCAAAUGGAAACUCUUUGUCUCCCGCCGCCACCUCUAGACUAAUGCUCCCAAUAAUGACUGAUCGAGCUGUAGGCGGCGCAAUCGUGAAACGUAAUAAAAUCCUGCUCGUCGCAAUAAGUCCAACACCGCAGGAUGCUCGCACUGCCAUCUGUUCAAUUUGCGGCCAUACUCCGUAAAUUGAACAGGAGAAUAUCCCUGCAUGAUUGUGAAUGCCAGCACGUAAAUUAGUACAUAAGUUAAAGAAGAUCUACGUAAAUUUGAAAUGUUUUUAAAAAUUUACCUCCUCUCUGAUCAAAGUAGAUCUAUGUCGUGGCUGCUCAGUCAGCACGGAUNNNNNNNNNNNNNNNNNNNNNNNNNNNNNNNNNNNNNNNNNNNNNNNNNNNNNNNNNNNNNNNNNNNNNNNNNNNNNNNNNNNNNNNNNNNNNNNNNNNNGGGCCCAUUUGGCAGGCGCAGCCAAGCUGUGAGAGGCAGUGGCCCGGACCUACAGUAGGGCGAGAGUUUUGGUCAGGACGGUAUGUCACGCCCCGACACCCGUCUAUUUGGUCGGAUUCGGGCACGCCGAACAGACCGCCGAAUAGACAGAGUUCCCUGUACGUCUAGGCUCGCAAUCAAUACAAUUUACGAUGUUCCAACGCAGGAACAGAAAUCAACAUACAGAUUGCAUAUGGAAAGGUAUCAAAACAAAAACAUCCUAUGUAUUACAUUCCACAUUGAUACAUUUGUUACAUCACAAUUACACUUUUUUCCAACAUACAACUGAGUUAUUACAGAUUUAUUACACAUUUAAUACAUCUUGUUCUUUUCAUUUUCUCUCUACCCUCUAGCUAUGCCGACUCGGGUACCAUCUAUCUCUUGGCUUCUGGGUAGGACGCUAUCUACGGAGCUACGCCCUUACCCGCGCCGCCGGCCGCUCACGUGAAAGAGUCAAACUCGUAAAACCCAAACAACGUGGGUGAGAACCACUCCAUGGUUCCCGUGGUACGGCCACCUAAGGGAAAAGCUCGACCAAAUAGGUUAAGGAGGCAAUGCAACAAGUUUGUCCAAUAACAUAUAACAGAUAUAUAUAUUCGAUAAAUAAACUAAGAUGUCAUGCUCGCAAAAUGCAAUAUGCAAUACCUGUAACUUUAUGGCAAGUAGAUUAAUUUGAUUCUACUUCAUAUUAUUAACCAUUCUUUAUUUUGGCCGUUCUUUACUUUAUUAUAUUCUUUACCUAAUUAGCUUUCUCUAGUCAUUACUUGGUCACAUUACGCUCAUUGGCGAUUCUUUCCUAAGGUUGCUCAUACCUUAGCCAUCUAUGCCACCGACGACUCGGUCUUGAGUCAAUUCUCUGCGGAUAGUCCGCACACUGGCUGCUCAACAGCCCAUCGCACUCGAUGACUCGGCCACCCGCGCGCGAAAUCGUCGCACACGCUCGGCUCUGGCUCAAGUCACCCUGCGGCAUGAUCCACAAACUAGCUCAACCAUCCGCGGCGAAAUCGUCGCACACGCUGACGACAAUGGUUCUUUAGCCCGGGCGCGAAAUCGUCGCACACACCACCCCACACCCUCUUGUUUCCACAAUCUGGGAUUCGGAAAUCCAUUUCACAUUACUCAAGGGUUGGCCUUAACCCAUGGAAUUGACCUAUCUAGGUCCAACCUUUACUCAACCUAAGUUAAACUUUAGGUUCAUUGCCUUCAUACUCUUACCUAGGUUUAUUAAUACUAGGAGGUCCAUUAUUCCUCGUCUACCUAGAUGUCAGCUGACUCUAGGUUCUUAUCUUUACGCUUCACACCUAUGUUCUCUAAAUUAGGAUUUAAUGCCUUUCUCGUAACCUAAUGUUUAUUAACACUAGGUCAUUAUCACUCUUGUUCACCUAGGCACGACUCUAGGGUUCAAUGCACUCGAUCUAAAUUGUACUAUAUUCCUUUUACUUAGCAAUUCUUACAUUAAAACUAUGAUUCUUAGCAUAUACCACAUGCUGCCAUUUAUUAAUUCUACAUUCAUGCUUGCAUAUCAAUUUUUAGGAUUCUACAUUAUUCAUCGCCCUAUCGCAAUGGGCAACAUGUCGUAUCAUAUUUUCAUUUAUGCAUUACUUAACAUUGCUUACAUUAUUAGACCAUAUUCUAUUAUUUACCACUAUGACAUUAGUUGCAUCGUUGCAGCUCAUAUUAGCAUUCAAUCUUCACUGCCAUCACACAUACUUAUCAAUAGCUCAUUACAUGCAUCAAUGAUAGAACCUUAAACUUAGACAUAACAGGCGACCUAGUCGCUUCGGUAAACAACCCACCUGAUUAUCGCGUUCCGAUUGCUUGUCGACACGUUGCAAUCGGCCGUCACCCGCGGUACCUCGUAUCGGCACGGCCGCGAUAUCUCGAACUGCGCCUCAAACGUGUCUCCGCUUCGCAGCCAGCGCCGGAAAUUAUCAGGCUCGGUUAUGGCCACGGUGCUCCAAAUCCAUUUCCAACGAUUUUAUACGACGUUCGGCCUCGGCCCUCCAGGCGGAAACGGAAAUCCUAAUACGUCACAUUUCUUUAUAUAACUUCGCAAGGCUCGUCGGAUUGCCGAACCGUCUUCGCCAACGCGCUUUCGUUACACCUACCAAUAAGGUUUACGAGGUGCUAAAAUAGGAUCAAAACCUCAUAUUUUGAAAAUUAGCAUUUUGAAACCCUAGUGUUACAACUAGAUAAAAAAUCCACAAAUUCUUCAUGAAUCAAGCAUCAUUUAUCUCGAUAGCAUGCUAAGGAUUCCUCUAAUCUAUUUAUUAAGUAUUUUUUAAACCAACCGUUGCGAGGACUCUACCAAUUAAAGGGGUAGCAAAAGCUUAACCUCAAAAUGAGCUCCAAACCAUGGGAAGAUGAAGAAGAUGAAGCCGAUUCACCAUCCAAGCUUCAAUCCCACCAAAGCCACCAAUUUUGCGGAGAGAUUUAGGAGGAGAGAAAGGGAAGUUUCUCUUUCCCUUUAACAUGCGUGUGUGUGUGUGUUGUGUGUGUGGUGUCGUGUGUGUCGUGUGUGUGUGUGUUGCAUUCGGGCUGAGGAAGAAGAAAGGACAAAAUCCCCUUUUUUAGCAAACUUAGUCCCUCAACUAUGCACUAUUCACUACGGGCAGCUUGAAAUCUGAUAUCUUUCGCUGGGAACUCCCUGAAUGUCCGGUUUGAGCUCAAACUCUGACAGUUCAUUGUUCGUUUUACGUACUGAGCAAGAAUAUAUUUAAUUUUUCAGUUCGACCCCCAUUGGUCACCGAAAAACUGUACUCGAAGCUUAAUCUGUUAUCAGGAUAGCUGUCGGAUUUAUUUCUCACUCUACGAGGUCAGAAAAAAUAUGAAACUUUAAAAUCUUAGAGUCCUCAACAUAAAAUAUUCUGAUUUAUCCGCAAGUUUUAUAAUUUUCGACACUGUGCCAUUUUCUUGCUAAUUUAUCUAGUCUCGUUUCCAAAGAAAAUUCUAGACUUCUAUUCUUUAUAUCCGAUUUCCAGCACAAGUCACUUCCGACUUAUGUUUUUACUCCUCUACAUCACAAUAAGAAAAGUAUCUCACCCUAUUUUAUAUUACUUUUAUUUUUAUACCAAAAAUCUGGUAUGUUACCACGGUAAGUCGCGAGCAUAGACCCGAGUUUACAAAUGGAAAUGCCACGUGUUGGAUCGUGAAAUCGCUGAUGCACUGAGAGUGCGGUUGUGACGCCAACCGGCGAGGACUUGGCUAGGUUUGGGUUCCUUGGUUGCUCCCAAUUGGAGCAGUAUGGUGAAUCUCAAAUGAGAACUGUGUCUCGUGAUAAUUGGGUCUACGCUUUGCGAGCGAUGGAGACGUUGAGCUAAGGUGAUAAAGCCUACGCAAAUCGUCGAUACUGAUUUGCGAAGCAACAAUCUGUGUAAUUGAGCAAGUAGUUUACCCGCGUGCAUUGGAAGUGAGUAUUUCGAACAUGUCCUAAGUAAAGGAUAGUAGUAAAGGACCGUGAGAGCGGAAGGCUCGGUCCUGUUGGAUUAUUUAUAGUUCAGAAUUGCUAAAAUAAGCCAUCCGAUGACGAGCUGAGAUUGGAAACGCGAACAAAGUGAUCGUAGAGAACUGAUUUGGGGAGGAAUCAAGGCUCCACAGUCCACAAGUGGUCCAGGCACGGGUCGUCCCCAACUACCCGCCAAUGUCGUCGUCCUACACGACAUGCUCUACAGAGCUACACGUACCACUCUCGGCCCCUAAGCACCUAGUGCAAGCCACCAGCCCUACGAGUGACCCCUGGCAUGCUUCACACUUAGCAAUGCUGAAGUGCUACUGCCAACACACUCACGGCUGAAUCAAAUCCGUACUCUACGACCACCUAUACUCGAGCGCUCUACGCGACUCUAUCGCGUGCUAUACUAAAUCUAGCAUUAGGCAACUCUUGCCUAUGCACACCGACUACACAAGCACGACCCACUUACCUCAAUCAGAGGUACUACUAGGUCCACGUGCACGCACCUGACCAGCAACCGAUCACUUCAUCAACAGUGAUUCUACUUUCGCUAUUCGAUCUAUCGGAACAAUAUGUAAAACGCUCGGUCUCACAAGAGUUCCACGAACAUCGCGACUAGACUCUCGCAAUCGGCAAUUCGCAUUAGUGUUGAGAGUUGGUCAACCAUUACCACUGUUACUACGAGUUCCACUCUUUAUUCACAAGCUAUCACCAGCGAUUUGCUAGUGCCUUUAGACUCUCUACCUGCUUCAACAGGUAUUACGUUCCCACACACAAGCAUAACUGGGAUAUUUACCCAUCUACUUAGUCUCUGUGAUACUACCGCACAAUUAGCAGUAACGACUACAUAAUCAAUGCAUGCAAUGCACUAAAUUUACAUAAUGCAGAAGACAUGCUUGCUGUAAUUAACUCAUACCUGCCACAUUACUACCAGUCGCAGCAGGUUCCACCACAUGAGUCGCCUAUCCACGGCCACUUGCUGCCUGUCGCGAACCCCUCGAUUGCCUUAUCCUCUGUCGCUCUCCAAACCGUGCCGCAAGUGACACAACUGCAAGCUGUCCCGGAGAGGAAAAUGCCGUCGCCAGCGUCAAGGCUUGGCUAGCACCCUGUGGACACUCGUCCCGCGCAUGACCUGGCUGUCCACACCUGAAGCACUUGCCCUCUCGCUGCUCACACUGCUGUGGGUAGUGAGGACCCCCACAAAUAACACAACAUGCUGAGGACCGACUGCGAUACGUCCCCGGAGCUCGGGAUCGCGAGUGCGAACUCACUGAGGUCUGUUGAGAACUUGACUGACCAUCAUACCCACUUGCUGGCCGUUCUUUUCCUUUUUCCUUGUAAUAGGAUUCGCACUCCUCCAGCACAGAUGCAUUGCCUUGUUCUAUCCAUAGGGCCCGAUCCACGACUUCAGCAAAAGUCUGCAACUUAAGAUUAUGCACUGCUUCAAAAAUAUCAGGCCGAAGUCCUCGUACAAAAUAAUCAACUCGAUCCUUGUCAUCCUAUACCACACUUGGAACACAGUUCACGAUACGAGAGAAUUCCCGCUCGUAUUCCCUCACAAGGCGGUCUCCUUGCCGCAAUUUUUGAAACCUGUCCCGAAGCUUUCUCUUUUCACUAUCGGGGAAAUAAACUGAAAGUAUCAACUCCCGAAAUUCUUGCCAAGUCAUCGGAGGGAGACUAGGCGAUCGGUUCCGUUUAACGCCUUUCCACCAUUCCUUCGCCGACAAUUGUAGACAAUGCACGGCUAGGUGUAUCUUGUCCCGUUCCACCGUAUACAAAUCCUCGAAGAUAGUCUCUAUGGAGUCAAUCCACAACUCCACAGUCCAUGGAUCUAUGUCCUCUCCAUCGAAAGUAGGAGGAUCAAACUUCUUGAAGGUCAUAAGAGCCGCCAAAGCACGCUCCCUUUCCACUUCCAUCUCUGAACUAACAACAGUCGGAUUGCUCGACCCCGACUAAAAUGCCUCCGCCGCGACUCCUGGCCGUACACGACGAGCCGAAACUGGUGCGGUCACUAGCUGAUCCACCGUGUCCUGGAGUCUCUUAAUCCGCUCAUCUUGGCGCAGAGCAGCGUCCUACUGACGCUGCACAACAUCCGCUUGUUGCCUCACCACUCCCACGAGUGUGGCCAACUGUACACGAAGCUCUGAGUCUCCGCUUGCGUCGGUUUGCUCAGGGACACCACUUGUCCCCGCCCGCGCCGAUCUGGACGAAGAUUGCCUACGCGGUGCCAUCGCUUCCUGAAAUAAGACAACUUGAUUAGUUCUCAACCAACUUGGGUCGAACACGAGCCCACUAACACCGGCUCAAAAGCCAAUCAGGCGAAAGUAACGCAAGGGCGUCUAUUCUCAACACUAGGUUUCAUGUUGUCGUACGCCCAACAUGAACACACUUGGUUGAGAAUAAACCACACCUCGAGUCUACCUCUAAUAUCUGUCUUAGAGGUUUACGACACGACCAAAUCCAUAAUCCUUUCGCGACACAUCAUAAGUCCUCGUCUCUCACGAGCCUUAUCCUCCUAUGGUUUACUAUCCUAGGGUCUCCUAGGUCAUCUAAACCAUUUUCUCAUUACUCUUUUUAUGCUCUGAUACCACUUAAUCUGUCACGCCCCGAGCUCCGCCAAUUUGGUCGGAUUCGGCCACAUCGACAGACCGCCGAACGGACAGAGCUUUCCCUGUACGUUCUAGGCAUCACAAUCUAAACAAUGCAACAGAAGAGGUCCCAACCAGGAACAGUACCAAGUAUGUAGAUUGCAUAAGUAUCAAAAACAUAAAAGGCUAACUAUGCAAUUAAUAGCAUUCAUCUCACAAUUUUACAUUUAGAAAAUUUCAUAAGUCUUUAAAUUAUUACAUAAGCCUUUAUACAGUUUACAACUUACACAAUUUAUUACAAAUUUGAUACAAGUUUGUUUCUUUCAUUCUGAACUCCGAGCUAGACUGCUUCAGGGUACUGCUAUCUCUGGUCUCGGGGGUAGGGCGCUAUCUACAAAGCUACGCCCUGUCCUUGCGCCGCUGCGCCGCUCACGUGCAAACCUGUACCCCCAAAAACCACACGGGGGUGAGAACUAUAUAAAUAUAGUUCCCAGUGGGUACGGCCACCCAAGGGAAGAGCUCGACCCACCAGGUCCAAAGGAGGCAACUGCAGGUUAGUAAACUGAACAGAUAGAUAGAUAUUCGAUGAUACAAUUAAUAAAACCAUACCUUGCCUCGCGAUAUGCAAUAUGUAAAUCAUGCAACUACGUAACAAGUAAAUCUAUUGAUCCUAUUUUAUAUCUUUAACCAUUCUUUACUUGUAGCCGUUCUUUAUUAGCUAUUUACGUUCAUUAGUUAUUCUUUAUUCUUAUUCUUUAUUCUUUAUCAUAUUGUGCUCACUAGCGAUUCUUUCCUAAGGUUACUUUACCUUAGUAAUCUAGCCACCCGACUCGGUCUUGAGUCAAUCAAUCGCGGAUAGUCCGCGCACUAUCUAGCUCGAGGUGAAGGAACUCUCACAUGCACCUCAGCUGGCAACAGCUCACCGUACUCCUGUCCUAGCCGUCUGGUGGCAAACAAUCGCACCUCACCCAACAACGGCCUAGGUAAAUGACUUAGCCACCCGGCGGCGAAAUCGUCGCACAACGCCACGACAGUGGUUCAGUCAACAGGCGGUAGGAUCCACAAACUGGCUAACCAUCCGGCGGCAAAAUCAUCGCACACGCCACAACAAUGGUUCUUUAGCCCUUGGGCGGCGAAAUCGUCGCACACACCCGACACCCCUUUGGGUGUAUCAACAAGCUUUGAGAUUCCGGAAUCUAUUUCACAUUACUCGAGGGUUAGUCUUAACCCUAUGGAAUCGACCUAUCUAGGUCCAAGUCUUUACUCGACCUAAUUUAACACUUUAGGUUCGAUUCUUUUAUAUUCUUAGCCUAGGUUUAUUAUCCCUAGGACCAUCAUUCUUUCCAACCUAGGUUCACUUGACUCUAGGUUAAACACUUUUCAUUUCACUACCUAUAUUCUUUACAUUAGGUUUAACAUCAUUCUUAUUUAACCUAUGUUUAAUAACACUAGGUUCAUUUCAUAUUCAACCUAUGUUUAAUAACAUUAGGUUCAUUUCAUAUUCAACCUAUGUUUAAUAACAUUAGGUUCAUGCCACUCGAUCUAUACAAUGUCCAACCUAGGUUCAAUAACUUAGGUUCAUGCCACUCGAUAUAUAUAUGUCUUCCUAGAUAUUCUUUUCUAGGUUCACAGUUUACAUAUUCAUAUAUUCUCAUUUAUCUUGUUACCAUCGAGGUUUCUAAUCAACUAGAAGUGUCGAUAUUCAUACAACCUGAACUAUAGUACAUUCAUUUUCAUAUAUGUUUAGACGUAGGCAUCAAACAUUCACUUUCAUAAGCAUUUAACACUAACUUUCUUUAACACUAACUUUCACGUAUCAACAAUUAUAUAUGCUUUAGCAUUUAUGUUCGCAUUUCGACAAUUAUAUUCAUAUGCAUCUAGCAUUCAUGUUCAUAUAAUAAUCAUUAUAAAUCAUCUAGCAUCAACCAUCUUAUGUCAACAAUCAUAUAUGCCUACUCAUAUGCGUCUAGCAUUUAUGUUCGCAUUUCGACAAUCAUAUUCAUAUAUGCGUCAAUGAAACCAUAUUUUUCUUUGGCAUGGAAGUGACCUAAUCACUUCGGUAAACACAACCCACC
rnacentral:lncRNA from 1 species